GGAGGGGGCGGGGCUUGCCGCCGGCCGGCGGAGGCGAUGGCGGCGCGAGCCGGCCUCGGGCCACAGGGGAGCUCACGUCGCCGGCUGCUGCCCGACGGGACCCGAGGACAUUUUUCAGUGAAGCUGGCAAUUUUUCCUUUAGUUUUCCUCCUGCGAGUGCAUGGCGGCGAGGACUCUCAUCCCACUGCUCUGAUGUGCUCUCCAGUCCCCGCUCUCAGCCAUGAAAAGACCCCUCAUCAGAACCUGCCCAUGCUGAGACUCUGAUGUCAGACUGCCAGACUCCAGAACUGUGAGGUCAAUGUCUGUUGUUUAAGCCACAGUCUGUGGUAUUUUGUUUUAGCAGCCCAAGGCAAUGAAGACAAGGGCUUAGCUUUCAAUUGUUGUGAAAUCCUAAUUAUUUGUGUAGUAAAACAUACCAAUUAAGAGCAUAGACUUGGGGGGCACCUGGGUGGCUCAGUCAGUUAAGCAUCUGACUUCAGCUCAGGUCAUGAUCUCACGGUACGUGAGUUUGAGCCCCCUGUCUGGCUCUGUACUGACAGCUCAGAGCGUGGAACCUGCUUCCGAAUCUGUGUCUCCCUCUCUCUCUGCCCUUCCCCUACUCAUGCUCUCUCUCUCUCUCUCUCUCAUAAAUAAACAUUUAAAUAAAUCUUGCGGUCUGGGGAAAGUUCCUUCAUCUCCAGGAUUCCAUUUCCUCAAUUAUAAAAUAGGGAUAAGGAUUCCUUAAUUUUCUUUUUGUGGUAGGACCACACAGGGAUAUGCAUUUGACACCUGGUUUGCCAUAUAGAUUUUAUGUAAUAAUGAUGAUGCCUUAAUGGUUUAUUGAUCUCAUGAAAUUGUGAUGGUUUGGUGGAUAGGAAAAACCUUAUCCCUCCCAUCCUUGCAAGUAGGGUGGAAUAAGGUUAUGUUCUGCAUUUUGAUUUUUUCUCACUUUAAACUUGUAAUUAAUAAUCUUAGUUUGGAGGCUCAUGGGAGGCUCAGUUGGUUAAGCAUCUGACUCUUGACAUCAGCUCAGAUUUGGGAGAUUGAGCUUUGCACCAGUCUCUGCACUGAUGGUGCGGAGCCUGCUUGCGAUCCUGUCCCCCACUUGCUUUCUCUCUCUCUCUCUCUCUCUCUCUCU